GGGAUAUGAUAAAAACGAUGAUAGUGGCUUUGAUUGACUCCUGCUAAGAUUUCAGCGAUUGCUUAUCCUUCUGAAAUAAAAAUACAAUAAGUAGAUUGUUUGAAUGUUCACACAGUUCAGUGGGUUGUGUGUGUGUGUGUGUGUGUGUGUGUGUCCCUUCCCCUCCCA